UUGAGCCGAGGAUGAAUUAAAGUUAUCCCUGUCUGAGAUGACAUGUCUUGUGAAGAGUCGUGGUUUACUGAGGCUCAA